ACCAUGAAGUUGGAGUUGCUAGUAAUCGCGGAUCAGCAUGCCGCGGUGAAUACGUUCCCGGGCCUUGUACACACCGCCCGUCACACCAUGGGAGUUGGGAGCGCCCGAAGCCGGUGAGGUAACCGAGAGGAGCCAGCCGUCGAAGGUGAGACCAAUGACUGGGGUGAAGUCGUAACAAGGUACC
rnacentral:rRNA from 1 species